CAACUACCCUAGGGCAAACUGUCUUAGAGACAGUCCUCAGGGAAGCUGCAGAAAAGGCCGGAGCCAAGGCCUGGAGGUGGAAGAGGGGAUGCAGACCCUCCCUGGCAACAAGAAAAGGGCAAACUCCAACCGCAGGGAGAUGAUGCCACUUGUGGGCUCUCAGAUUGGAGGGAAACGAGCUGAGUGACGGGGCCUCGCGCACAGCUCGGUGGAGGGAGAGACAGUGCGUGCGGAGGUGGAGGGGAGGGUCCUGUUGAACUCCCCACCAGCCCCUGGGAGGGGAGAUCGGAGGGUGAGCUCGGCGGUGACGCGGGGCCCUCACGUGACCGCGAGCUGCAGAGCGACGCAGCCUUCGGUGCAGUCGUCACUCCAGUCUGGGUACCAGCUCCCCGCUUCCCUGCACACGGCGGGCUGGCAUCGGGCCCCGCGGCAAGUGGAGCAGUGAUUCGUGUGGCAGUGUUUGUGGCGAGGCGAGGGAAGAAGAGGAGCAAACUGCACAGGAUCUGCGGAGCUGGGUCUACAGGCCUGAAAGCUUGA
rnacentral:lncRNA from 1 species